rnacentral:tRNA from 2 species
GAGGCCGUAGCUCAGCGGCAGAGCGGCUGCUUGUUAAGCAGAUGCGCGCAGGUUCGAUCCCUGCCGGCCUCG